AUGGGAGAGAAAAGCAAAGAACGGAGAGACCAGCAGGAGGAAACAACUGGAGAUGUGGCAGAGUCAGGAACCUUGAAGAAGCCCCUGAUGGAAAGAGCAAGGCCAAGCAGGCCUGGGACGUGUGCUGUGGAGUCAGAGCUGGACUCAGAACAGAGACUGCCCAGCAAUACUGAUUAUGCAAUUGGCUGCAGUAGCUCCAGUAAUCUGUCUUGCUGGAACUGAGAUUGAGGGCUAUGAGUUUCUGUGGUUUUAAUACAUAUAUAUGUAACAACAAAAAAAGAACUCCUGACUUUACUCACAGAAAAUCAGUUAUGCAAAAUGUUAGCUUAUAAGAAAAACAGAUAGGGUGCUGUGUAAUCAUUAAGAAGAGGUGGCAUUUGGAGCUGCUAAAAUGCCGGAUUACCUUGGUGCCGAUCAGCGGAAGACCAAAGAGGAUGAGAAGGACGACAAGCCCAUCCGAGCUCUGGAUGAGGGGAUAUUGCCUUGCUAAACUUUACGGUCAGAGCACUUACUCUAGGCAGAUCAAGCAAGUUGAAGAUACAUUCAGCAACUUCUCAAGAAAAUAAUGAGCUCACUGGUUAUUAAAGAACUGACCACU
rnacentral:lncRNA from 1 species